UACGAAGGGGGCUAGCGUUACUCGGAUUGACUGGGCGUAAAGGGCGCGUAGGCGGCCAACUAAGUCAGACGUGAAAUCCCUCAGCUUAACUGGGGAACUGCGUCUGAUACUGGAUGGCUUGGAUUCGGGAGAGGAGUGCGGAAUUCCAGGUGUAGCGGUGAAAUGCGUAGAUAUCUGGAGGAACACCGGUGGCGAAGGCGGCAUUCUGGACCGAUAUUGACGCUGAGGAGCGAAAGCCAGGGGAGCAAACGGG
rnacentral:rRNA from 1 species